rnacentral:rRNA from 1 species
GACGAACGCUGGCGGCGUGCUUAACACAUGCAAGUCGAACGGAAAGGCCCCUUUGGGGGUACUCGAGUGGCGAACGGGUGAGUAACACGUGCGUAACCUGCCCUUGACUUCGGGAUAACUUCAGGAAACUGGGGCUAAUACCGGAUAGGAAUCCUUGCUGCAUGGUGGGGGUUGGAAAGCUUCGGCGGUUUUUGAUGGACUCGCGGCUUAUCGGCUUGUUGGUGGGGUUGUGGCUUACCAAGGCUUUGACGGGUAGCCGGCCUGCGAGGGCGACCGGCCACAUUGGGACUGAGAGACGGCCCAGACUCCUACGGGAGGCAGCAGUGGGGAAGAUUGCACAAUGGGCGGAAGCCUGAUGCAGCAACGCCGCGUGCGGGAUGACGGCCUUCGGGUUGUAAACCGCUUUCAGCAGGGGCGAAGCUUGUGGUGACGGUACCUGCAGAAGAAGCACCGGCUAACUACGUG